rnacentral:rRNA from 1 species
UUGAGAGCGGCGGACGGGUGAGUUAAUACCUAGGAAUCUGCCUGGUAGUGGGGGAUAACGUUCGGAAACGGACGCUAAUACCGCAUACGUCCUACGGGAGAAAGCAGGGGACCUUCGGGCCUUGCGCUAUCAGAUGAGCCUAGGUCGGAUUAGCUAGUUGGUGAGGUAAUGGCUCACCAAGGCUACGAUCCGUAACUGGUCUGAGAGGAUGAUCAGUCACACUGGAACUGAGACACGGUCCAGACUCCUACGGGAGGCAGCAGUGGGGAAUAUUGGACAAUGGGCGAAAGCCUGAUCCAGCCAUGCCGCGUGUGUGAAGAAGGUCUUCGGAUUGUAAAGCACUUUAAGUUGGGAGGAAGGGUAUUAACCUAAUACGUUAGUACUUUGACGUUACCGACAGAAUAAGCACCGGCUAACUCUGUGCCAGCAGCCGCGGUAAUACAGAGGGUGCAAGCGUUAAUCGGAAUUACUGGGCGUAAAGCGCGCGUAGGUGGUUUGGUAAGUUGA